rnacentral:rRNA from 1 species
AUUGAACGCUGGCGGCAUGCAUUACACAUGCAAGUCGAACGGUAACAGGCCGCAAGGUGCUGACGAGUGGCGAACGGGUGAGUAAUGCAUCGGAACGUGCCCAGUCGUGGGGGAUAACGAGGCGAAAGCUUUGCUAAUACCGAAUACGAUCGCAGGAUGAAAGCAGGGGACCGCAAGGCCUUGCGCUCACGGCGCGGCCGAUGGCAGGAUAGGUAGUUGGUGGGAAAAAAGCUUACCAAGCCGACGAUGUGUAGCUGGUCUGAGAGGACGACGAGCCAGACUGGGACUGAGACACGGCCCAGACUCCUACGGGGGGCAGCAGUGGAGAAUUUUGGACAAGGGGCGCCAGCCUGAUCCAGCCAUGCCGCAUGCAGGAUGAAGGCCUUCGGGUUGUAAACUGCCUUUGUACGGAACGAAAAGACUCCUUCUAAUAAAGGGGGUCCAUGACGAUACCGUAAGAAUAAGCACCGGCUAACUACGUGCCAGCAGCCGCCGCAGUAA